rnacentral:rRNA from 1 species
UUAAGCGACUAAGCGUACACGGUGGAUGCCCUGGCAGUCAGAGGCGAUGAAGGACGUGCUAAUCUGCGAUAAGCGUCGGUAAGGUGAUAUGAACCGUUAUAACCGGCGAUUUCCGAAUGGGGAAACCCAGUGUGAUUCGACACACUAUCAUUAACUGAAUCCAUAGGUUAAUGAGGCGAACCGGGGGAACUGAAACAUCUAAGUACCCCGAGGAAAAGAAAUCAACCGAGAUUCCCCCAGUAGCGGCGAGCGAACGGGGAGCAGCCCAGAGCCUGAAUCAGUGUGUGUGUUAGUGGAAGCGUCUGGAAAGGCGCGCGAUACAGGGUGACAGCCCCGUACACAAAAAUGCACAUGCUGUGAGCUCGAUGAGUAGGGCGGGACACGUGGUAUCCUGUCUGAAUAUGGGGGGACCAUCCUCCAAGGCUAAAUACUCCUGACUGACCGAUAGUGAACCAGUACCGUGAGGGAAAGGCGAAAA